rnacentral:rRNA from 2 species
GCCAUAGUGGGUGAUAGCCCCGUACGCGAAAGGAUCUUUGAAGUGAAAUCGAGUAGGACGGAGCACGAGAAACUUUGUCUGAACAUGGGGGGACCAUCCUCCAAGGCUAAAUACUACUGACUGACCGAUAGUGAACCAGUACCGUGAGGGAAAGGCGAAAAGAACCCCGGAGAGGGGAGUGAAAUAGAACCUGAAACCGUAUGCGUACAAGCAGUGGGAGCCUACUUGUUAGGUGACUGCGUACCUUUUGUAUAAUGGGUCAGCGACUUAUAUUCUGUAGCAAGGUUAACCGUAUAGGGGAGCCAAAGGGAAACCGAGUCUUAACUGGGCGUUAAGUUGCAGGGUAUAGACCCGAAACCCGGUGAUCUAGCCAUGGGCAGGUUGAAGGUUGGGUAACACUAACUGGAGGACCGAACCGACUAAUGUUGAAAAAUUAGCGGAUGACCUGUGGCUGGGGGUGAAAGGCCAAUCAAACCGGGAGAUAGCUGGUUCUCCCCGAAAGCUAUUUAGGUAGCGCCUCGUGAAUUCAUCUUCGGGGGUAGAGCACUGUUUCGGCUAGGGGGCCAUCCCGGCUUACCAACCCGAUGCAAACUACGAAUACCGAAGAAUGUUAUCACGGGAGACACACGGCGGGUGCUAACGUCCGUCGUGAAGAGGGAAACAACCCAGACCGCCAGCUAAGGUCCCAAAGUCAUGGUUAAGUGGGAAACGAUGUGGGAAGGCACAGACAGCCAGGAUGUUGGCUUAGAAGCAGCCAUCAUUUAAAGAAUGCGUAAUAG